UGGGGAAUUUUCCGCAAUGGGUGAAAGCCUGACGGAGCAAUACCGCGUGAGGGAGGAAGGCUUUUGGGUUGUAAACCUCUUUUCUCAGGGAAGAAGAUUCUGACGGUACCUGAGGAAUCAGCAUCGGCUAACUCCGUGCCAGCAGCCGCGGUAAGACGGAGGAUGCAAGCGUUAUCCGGAAUUAUUGGGCGUAAAGCGUCCGUAGGUGGUCGUUCAAGUCUGUUGUCAAAGGCCGCAGCUCAACUGUGGAUGCGCGAUGGAAACUGAAUGACUAGAGUGUGGUAGGGGUAGAGGGAAUUCCUAGUGUAGCGGUGAAAUGCGUAGAUAUUAGGAAGAACACCAGUGGCGAAGGCGCUCUACUGGGCCAUAACUGACACUGAUGGACGAAAGCUAGGGGAGCGAAAGGGAUUAGAUACCCCGGUAGUCC
rnacentral:rRNA from 1 species